rnacentral:rRNA from 1 species
CCUACGGGAGGCAGCAGUGAGGAAUAUUGGUCAAUGGACGUAAGUCUGAACCAGCCAAGUCGCGUGAAGGAUGACUGCCCUAUGGGUCGUAAACCUCUUUUAUAUGGGAAUAAAAUGCUCGACGUGUGGGGUUUUGUAUGUACCAUAUGAAUAAGGAUCGGCUAACUCCGUGCCAGCAGCCGCGGUAAUACGGAGGAUCCGAGCGUUAUCCGGAUUUAUUGGGUUUAAAGGGUGCGUAGGCGGAUUUUUAAGUCAGCGGUGAAAGUUUGCGGCUCAACCAUAAAAUUGCAGUUGAAACUGGCAGUCUUGAGUAUAUUAGAGGCAGGCGGAAUGCGUGGUGUAGCGGUGAAAUGCUUAGAUAUCACGAAGAACCCCGAUUGCGAAGGCAGCUCGCUGGGCUGCGACUGACGCUGAGGCUCGAAAGUGUGGGGAUCAAACAGGAUUAGAUACCCGAGUAGUC